GCGUUGGUGGUUUAGUGGUAAAAUUCAUCGUUGCCAAGAGAUGUUGAACUCAUUAUUGAGUGCCCUUCAACUAGGAAUUCUCUAGAGACUUCAACACCAGCUUCGAUGAGCCCCGGGUUCGAUUCCCGGCCGACGCA
rfam:Macrophomina phaseolina MS6 contig00102, whole genome shotgun sequence.